AUACGGAGGAUGCAAGCGUUAUCCGGAUUUAUUGGGUUUAAAGGGUGCGCAGGCGGGAGAUUAAGUCGGCGGUGAAAUUUUGCAGCUCAACUGUAAAAGUGCCUUCGAAACUGGUUUCCUUGAGUGUAGAUGAAGUAGGCGGAAUUUGUGGUGUAGCGGUGAAAUGCAUAGAUAUCACGAGGAACUCCGAUUGCGCAGGCAGCUUACUAAACUUCUACUGACGCUCAGGCACGAAGGCGUGGGGAUCAAACAGGAUUAGAUACCCUGGUAGGCCACGCAGUAAACGAUGAUUACUAGCUGUUUGCGAUACAAUGUAAGCGGCUGAGCGAAAGCGUUAAGUAAUCCACCUGGGGAGUACGUUCGCAAGAAUGAAACUUAAAGGAAUUGGCGGGG
rnacentral:rRNA from 1 species